ACCACUGAGCUAAAUCCCUGGCCCACGAAUUUCGUCUCUUAUACCCCACAUGAAGUAGGUGCUUCACCACUCCCAUUUCUCAGAGGCGAAGACCGAGGCUUAGGCAGCCCAAGAUCACACAGCUAGCACACGGUAGAGUUCGGUCACCAACCCGGAAAGCCUACGCCUUCACCAGAGCCCUCCAGCCAGGAGCGAUUCCCUUAGCCCCCUCUGACACACACGCCCAAGUCAGGUCCAAAUCCAGAUAAAAUCUCACUGUGCGCUUGCAAGUGGAAGAGGGUAACUUCUGAGACGUUGUUCCAGCGGCUGUCCUCUUCUCCCCUAAAGAGGCUAAAGCGCUCACGCUCCCAAACACAGUGCAUGGCCCCACCUGUGAAAGCGCCGGCCUGUUGGUUCAUAGGUGGAUUCAGACGGAGUCCUGUCCUAAUAACAAGCGUGACCUCUCUGGAUGAGACAGAGAAGCUCUGGAGCUCAUCUUGUGUGCCUUGCAGUGUUCUGACUGCAUCGUCCCCUGCAGAGGAGCGCAGCCCACACGCCUCUGUCCUGCGUCACCCUGGUGGGGACGUCAUAUUUGCCACCCUGCGGGUGCACACGUGGAUAUUCACACAGUGCUCAGUGCCGGCGGGACACCCGCGCCUUUUCUGGUCACCUCGUCACACCAACUGGCUGGUGGCAUGAGCAGAUGGGGAAGGGCGGAGACACCACUCCUCCGGCAAAGGAGGGACCCUGCUGGGCGUAGAGAGAAGCCAGCUCAUUUUGGGCUGACAGAACCUGUGGUGUGUGAGAGCUCAGCUGAGGCCCGCUCCUCCUUCCACCUGUCCUAGUGGCCACACCUACCUGGGCAAUUAGCACGGCACAGUCUACCUGCAUACCAAGGGAGAGGUCGCAGAGGAGCGGACCGGAAGAGGCUGCCCUUUACACCGGAAACUGCUUCAGAGCUGGUGAACUGCCUGGCCUGUGUUUUGUUCGAUCUGAACCGUGUAUUUUAAGAAUCUGCAGCUAUCUCCAAUAUGAUAAAUAUCAAGAAAUUUCACAUACUACAUUUGUAGUGUGUUCUGAAAAAAAAUUGUGAGAUCGCGCAUACGGCAGAUUUGGAAAGCCACAUGGAACAUCAAGGAAGAAAAGCACAGCAGGGGGAAAACCCAGCAGGGAGCUUGAUCCACUGUCACCGCAGUGCUCCAGGAGGACGCUGGGACUUUGGAUUCAGAGAUGGAGUUGAGAACCCAGAAAGCCUGCAGUUUGUCAGCAACCCCUUAAAUUACAACCCUAAGCCUGAUCUGUCCUGCUGCCUGCUUUGAUGAAGGUAAAUUUGGUAAAUUUGGAAAUGAUUGAAUAACAACAAAAGCAAGAGAAGAAGAAUAUGUCACAGCACGUGAAAAUGAUACAGAGUCAAAUUUCAGUGUCCAGAGAUCAAGCUGUGCAGGAACACAGUAUGAUCACAAGAUGAUUUGGGCUGUGUUAGGCUUCAGCUCUGCCUGGUGGCUCCCGAGCAACUGGGCCAAUGUGCAAGCGAAUGGGCGAGAUUAUGUUCUACGAAGACCUUUCUUCUGGCUUCAGUUUGCCAGACCCACCAUAAACAAAUGCCCAUAGAUGUAUGGCUCACCUCAUCAGCUACUGACUGUCUGGGGAGAGAGAAUAAAUGCAGGAGAUCACGGACAGGAAGAAGCAUGCAAAAACAGGCAGCUGCUGCCUCUGCUUGUUUCCUCGAGAUUCCAUGUCCCGGGCUUAGUCAAUGGGAAUUUGUAGGCAUGUGCCAAUCCAUAAGCCAUUUGCAAAGUGAUAACUGCAUCCACUGGGCUUUUCCUGGGAGAGGGCAGGGGAUGUUUUCACGAGAAAUCCUGUGUUGAGCCAUGUGGGGUAGAAAGGAGGAGGUGAAACCCCAGAGGGCUAGCUGGCCCCUGAGUGGUCUUUUCAAUGAAAGUCUGGGUUUUGCUGAGUGUGGGGAAGGGCUUGGUGGGAAGGACCUGGGCCAAGCUGAAUUGCUCUGCUUGGAAGAGGAAAGCAGGAUUGGACAUUGUGGAAGAAGAAAGGAAUUCAUGAAGAAAGCUGGGAGCCAUGUGCAAAAGGGGGGGGGGGUCUCUAGGAAUUUUCUAGGGAAAUGCAUGAGAGGUUUAUCCACUGUGGCCAUGGGAGUGUGAUGAUGGCCCUCCAAGAUGCCCUCUUCACUGGCUGCACUGUCUAGAACCAUCCAUCACUUCCCACUUUGUUCUGCUGUCUUCUCCUCUUGCCCCUCAUCAUUAGCUGUCAUCCUCUUAUUCAUCCUAUGGUUCACUAGUUUAUGGUCUGUUCUGUUCCCCUAGAAGGUUGGCAUGUUGGCCAAAAUGACCUUGACCAUGUAACUCAUCACCAAGGCCUAAAAUGAUGCCUAACGUUAUAUAUACUCACAGGAACUUUGAAUAUUUGCCAAAUGAAAGAUCGAUUUGACCUAAAUACAUAGAACUUGACAACAAAGAAGUUGCUUUUCUACCGGUCUUGUAGUACUUGGUUUCUCAAAUAAUACAUGUUUGUUGCUGUAGUUCUGCCGUAAUUCUGAGAGAUGCUCACAGAACAGCACAUGCCUGCCUGCAGAUUUUUUUCACAUUCUUAGAUGUUACUAGAAGUCUUCAUGAGGUUCAAAUUUAAAGUAGGACACAGCUAAAAUUCAUUGUGGGAAAGGGUGUGGAAGACCAGAGGUGGCCAGAUCAUUACCUUUGGGUUCACAGAUUUUGCAGAAUUAUCACGAGAGUAAGUUGUCUUCUAAACAAAAUCAAUCCCUCUGCAAUCCUGCCUGCCAUCUACGAUCUGUUUCCAAAGUGAAAUCAAAGUCAAUAGCUGUUUUGUAGGUGGAAUGAUUACAGAUUCCAACCCCUGGUUGAAUGAACAUGUAAAGGGAAGUCUUGGACCUGGGUAAUUAUAGGAUAUUUCCUUAAUACACCUUAUCUGAUCCUUUUCCGCUAAUAAUUGUAUGUAAUUAUAUUUAUGUGUGAGAACAUUGAAUAUUAAUGGAGUCUAGGGCCCUGAGGAUUUAAAGAGCUUAUGAAGUAUUUGACUGGAUACGACCAAUCAUUACAUGUCAGGCGAAGAACAUGGAGAAAAAGGAAUUUGUCAAAAAGAAACCAGAGACUAGAAGAAACCCAACACUUUCAUUAAUUGAUAAUAUUUUUAUUAGGUUGUUACUUUCAAGUGUCUUUUAGUACUUGCACUUGAAUUUAAAUGUCUGAAAGGAAUGGGUAUUCAGGAAAAGAAAAGUAAUUACACCCUGUAAUUCUGAUUUAAUUACGAGGAAAUAGAUGUAACAUGAUGUGAUAAAAGUUAUGAUAGGCUCUUUAAGUGAUAUAUGUCAUUAACAUGUUAAUUGGCAUGAAAUCUGAACUCGCAGCCAGAGAAAUCUUAGGUGAAUAUGAGGUCAUCUCUAUUACAGGCAGUCUUAAAAUGAAAAUGCCAUUAAAAGCAUUUUAAGUUUUAUUCUGCGAUGUACUUUUUCUCAUUUAUGUUCAAUACAAUGAAAAUCCGGUCCUGCCCUUAAGAAGAAGAAGAGGAGGAAGAGGAGGAGGACAAGGAGGAGGAGGAGGACAAGGAGGAGGAGGAGAAGAAGGAAGAAGAAGGAGAAGAAAUAGAAGAAGAAAUAGAAGAAGAAGAAGAAGAAGAAGAAGAAGAAGAAGAAGAAGAAGAAGAAGAAGAAGAAGAAGAAGAAGAAGAAGAAGAAGAAGAAAAAGGCUAUUCCUACGGGGUUGGUGUGGCUAGCUUGAACUUGUAAUUGAAUACACACCAAGUCAGGGCGAGAUUAAAUGAGGAAAUGGAUUUUCUUCUGCAUGAAGGGACCGGGUCAUGUUCUAAAAAUCUGGCUCUUUCAACAUCUUCACAUAAUGAUGAAAUGAAAUGUGUAAAGAUUUUGAUUAUUAAAAAGCCUGCUUUUUCCUCAAAGACUCAUCCCAGGACCUGUUUAUUUUUAUUUCUUUGUAACUUUUUGGCUCGUGGCUGUGGUUAGCAUAAAAGAAGUAUUUGUUCUGCAGAAGGAAGUAGCCAGACCAGACUGGGGCUGCUGUUGCAGGGAGGGAGUAGGGUCCUCGCUGGGACCCCAGAGCCAGAAAUAGUUAAGUGGGAAUGCGAGGCUGGUCUGGUGGCUCUGUUAUUGAUAUGCUUUGGUAUUAAAAAUAGCUGGCACAUUAGCCCAUUUCACAGCUGCCAGGCAGGGACAUGCUGCUGUGAGAGCAGCCAAGUUGACCCUCGAUUCGCCCCGUGAUGGCCCCCCACACUGACGCAGGCUGGCACUGUGGCCAGCAGAGCUGUGUGUGACAGGAAGAUGAAACGGCCCCGCCUACACGGUUCCCUCACAGA